GGGAUUGCCUCAGUAGCGGCGAGUGAAGCGGCAAAAGCUCAAAUUUGAAAUCUGGCGUCUUUGGCGUCCGAGUUGUAAUUUGAAGAAGGUAUCUUUGGGCCCGGCUCUUGUCUAUGUUCCUUGGAACAGGACGUCACAGAGGGUGAGAAUCCCGUGCGAUGAGAUGACCCGGGUCUGUGUAAAGUUCCUUCGACGAGUCGAGUUGUUUGGGAAUGCAGCUCUAAGUGGGUGGUAAAUUCCAUCUAAAGCUAAAUAUUGGCGAGAGACCGAUAGCGAACAAGUACAGUGAUGGAAAGAUGAAAAGAACUUUGAAAAGAGAGUGAAAAAGUACGUGAAAUUGUUGAAAGGGAAGGGCUUGAGAUCAGACUUGGUAUUUUGCAUGCUGCUCUCUCGGGGGCGGCCGCUGCGGUUUACCGGGCCAGCAUCGGUUUGGAGCGGCAGGAUAAUGGCGGAGGAAUGUGGCACGGCUUCUGCUGUGUGUUAUAGCCU
rnacentral:rRNA from 1 species